rnacentral:rRNA from 1 species
CUUUUGAAAUUAAUUUAAGGUUUAACCUGCCCACUGAUAAAUUAAAUGGCCGCAGUAUUCUAACUGUGCAAAGGUAGCAUAAUCAUUAGUCUUUUAAUUGGAGGCUGGAAUGAAUGGUUGGAUGAGAUAUAAACUGUUUCAUAUAAAUUAAAAUAAAAUUUUAUUUUUUAGUUAAAAAGCUAAAAUAUAAUUAAUAGACGAGAAGACCCUAUAAAUCUUUAUAYCUAAUUAAUUUUAAUUAUAAAGAUAAUUUAAAUUAUAAUUAAUUUAGAUAUUUUAUUGGGGUGAUAUUAAAAUUUAAUAAACUUUUAAUUUAUUAURACAUAAAUUAAUGAAUUAUUGAUCCAUAAAUUAUGAUUAAAAAAUUAAGUUACUUUAGGGAUAACAGCGUAAUUUUUUUARAGAGUUCCUAUUGAUAAAAA